UACGUAGGGUGCAAGCGUUAAUCGGAAUUACUGGGCGUAAAGCGUGCGCAGGCGGUUUUGUAAGUCAGAUGUGAAAUCCCCGGGCUUAACCUGGGAACUGCGUUUGAAACUACAAGGCUAGAGUGUGGCAGAGGGGGGUGGAAUUCCACGUGUAGCAGUGAAAUGCGUAGAGAUGUGGAGGAAUACCGAUGGCGGAGGCAGCCUCCUGGGCCAACACUGACGCUCAUGCACGAAAGCGUGGGGAGCAAACAGG
rnacentral:rRNA from 1 species